GACGAACGCUGGCGGCGUGCCUAAUACAUGCAAGUAGGACGCAGUUGCGAACGGGUGAGUAACGCGUAAUCAACCUGCCCUUCAGAGGGGGACAACAGUUGGAAACGACUGCUAAUACCGCAUACUGAAGGAGGGGAUUGCGUCUGAUUAGCUAGUUGGAGGGGUAACGGCCCACCAAGGCGAUGAUCGGUAGCCGGCCUGAGUGGAUGAUCAGGCACACUGGAACUGAGACACGGUCCAGACUCCUACGGGAGGCAGCAGUGGGGAAUAUUGGACAAUGGGCGAAAGCCUGAUCCAGCCAUGCCGCGUGUGUGAAGAAGGUCUUCGGAUUGUAAAACACUUUAAGUUGGGAGGCGUUACCAACAGAAUAAGCACCGGCUAACUUCGUGCCAGCAGCCGCGGUAAUAC
rnacentral:rRNA from 1 species